GGUUGUCUCUUACCUAGUUAGGUUCUUAGUCUCCUACACUUCCAUCCUCCAGAACAUCCUUCAAGAUCUCCUGUUUGUCAGGUGGGACUCUAGCCCUGGAGAUGGCCUGCAGGAAGAAACUAGAGCACCAUUGGAAACAAGUGCUGACUGCAUAAAAUCAAGAACUGAGGGCAAGCACUCCACAGUCACAGAGGCUUAUUUUUCAAGGAAGUUUGAAAAUUAUUUGGAGUUUUCUAAAUAUGCAAGAUUAUCAUCACGUUGGAAUACCUACUUUCACAUUCUGUACCACGAACAGUUUUCACUCGGGUUUUCCGCCCAUCAUCAAAAUGUUCACUAUGGAUGAAAUGAUACUUUUGGAAACAAAUCAAGUUCUUCGCCAAUUCAGACUUGGCGAUGGCCAAUCGCCACUGGAGUAACAGGCACCCGUUGGAACGGAACCCCUUGCAACACAUCGGUCCCAAGAGCUGUGCUUGCCAUCAACACCUUCUAUGCUUCUCAGGUAUUAAUUUGUGCAAA